AUUGAACGCUGGCGGCAGGCCUAACACAUGCAAGUCGAGCGGAUGAAGGUAGCUUGCUCCUGGAUUCAGCGGCGGACGGGUGAGUAAUGCCUAGGAAUCUGCCUGGUAGUGGGGGAUAACGUCCGGAAACGGGCGCUAAUACCGCAUACGUCCUGAGGGAGAAAGUGGGGGAUCUUCGGACCUCACGCUAUCAGAUGAGCCUAGGUCGGAUUAGCUAGUUGGUGGGGUAAAGGCCUACUAAGGCGACGAUCCGUAACUGGUCUGAGAGGAUGAUCAGUCACACUGGAACUGAGACACGGUCCAGACUCCUAAGGGAGGCAGCAGUGGGGAAUAUUGGACAAUGGGCGAAAGCCUGAUCCAGCCAUGCCGCGUGUGUGAAGAAGGUCUUCGGAUUGUAAAGCACUUUACGUUGGGAGGAAGGGCAGUAAGUUAAUACCUUGCUGUUUUGACGUUACCAACAGAAUAAGCACCGGCUAACUUCGUG
rnacentral:rRNA from 1 species